rnacentral:lncRNA from 1 species
AAAGAUUGGACACCCCUGCUCUACAGUAGAACACACAGACGUGGUCCAGUUGGGUUGUGCUCUAACCUGUAUUUCUCUCUCUCUCUCACAUGGUCCUGCUCUGUCCACCCUGCAGAGUCAAGUGAAAUCAAGGGUGAAGAACAACAGGGAGAGAAGAGGGAGAGGAGGGAUGCCCGAACUCUCGCCGCAGUAUCGGGGACUGAGGGAUGGGAAAUUUAUCUAUGCAUUCAUGAAGUAAUAUUAGAUUGUUUUUUAAACUCAUUGAUUUUUAAACUCAGGGGAGCUGUAACUGAAAUAGAUGUACGUUUUUUAUGCAAAGUUUGCUAAAUUCAGAUCUUUUGUUCCCUGUCUGUAAGCCCAAUUUACAGCUUGAGCAGGUUGUUGGUUAAGUUGAAGGGUCAGUUGCUACACCAAUUUAAAACUGGCUGUAGGUUUCUGCCAUAUAAGGGACACA